AUUGAACUCUGGCGGCAGGCCUAACACAUGCAAGUCGAACGAGUGGCUGACGGGUGAGUAAUGUCUGGGAAACUGCCCGCUGUAGGGGUAUAACUACUGGCAACGGUAGCUAAUACCGCAUACCAUCGGAUGUGCCCAGAUGGGAUUCUCUAGUAGGUGGGGUAACGGGGCACAUAGGCGCCGAUCCCUAGCUUGUCUGAGAGGCUGACCAGCCACACUGGAACUGAGAAACUGGCCAGACUAUGACGUGAGGCAGCAGUGGGGAAUAUUGCACAAUGGGCGCAAGCCUGAUGCAGCCAUGCCGCGUGUAUGAAGAAGGCCGUCGGGUUGUAAAGUACUUUCAGCGGGGAGGAGUUACCCGAAGAAGAAGCACCGGCUAACUCCGUGCCAGCAGCCGCGGUAAUUC
rnacentral:rRNA from 1 species